AGCAGCCGCGGUAAUUCCAGCUCCAAUAGCGUAUAUUAAAGUUGUUGCAGUUAAAAAGCUCGUAGUUGAACUUCGGGAUCAAGGAAUCGGUCAUGCCUUGGUAUGUACUGGUUUUAUUGGUUCUCACCUUCUAAAGAACCAUAAUGUCAUUCAUUUGAUGUUAUGGGGAAUUAGGACUGUUACCUUGAAAAAUUAGAGUGUUUAAAGCAGGCUUACGCUUGAAUACAUUAGCAUGGAAUAAUGAAAUAGGACAUCCGAUUCUAUUUUGUUGGUUUCUAGGAUCGAUGUAAUGAUUAAUAGGGAUAGUUGGGGGCAUUAGUAUUCAAUUGUCAGAGGUGAAAUUCUUGGAUUUAUUGAAGACUAACUACUGCGAAAGCAUUUGCCAAGGAUGUUUUCAUU
rnacentral:rRNA from 1 species